GGCAGGAAAAUGGGAUUAGGAGGCAGAGAUCAGCCAUGAAUGAAUGGUGGAGUAGAAUCGAUGGACUGAAUGACCUCAUUCUAAUCCUAUAGCUUGUAAUACAUCAAAAAC